CGUUUCUUUUACAAAUCUGCAACUUUCACCCUAUCCGACCUCCUACCAGCCUCCUCACCCCAGCUCUCACCCCACGGCAACCACAACAAGCAAAACCCAAACACCCCGCGCGCAAUUCAGAGCUUUCUCUGGGAGUGUCAGGGCCCGGAGACAGGAAAUCCGGGGAGUUGGCGAUGUCCGGCAGGUGGCGGCGACCCGAGUCACCACCACAUUCUCCUCCCACGGCUGAGCUCGAUCGGGGGUGCGGCGAGAGGCGCGGACGGCGACCGGCCCCGCAGGCGCCCGAGCCUCUCCGAAGCCUUGGUCUCCGGUCCCCCUUCCCGGCGCGCAUCCCCGAGUUGGGGACGCAGCCAGCCCUCGCCCAUCGGCAGCCAGAGGGAGGCCCCGCCGCCCUUGGGGCAAACGAGGGCGAAGCCGGGGCCAAGCACCCCCGCGAGCCGCGCUCUUGGGUCCUUCGUCCCAUGCCUCCGCGCGCGCAGCCCCCGCCACCAGCGCGCAGCGUCCUCCGUCUGCCCCGCUGCGCCCCAGCUCCCUGCCCCCCGGAAAGCACUCCCUAGCCCGGGCAGCUCCUUCACGUCCCCUUCCCCCAAAGUCCGAGGAAGUCCAACUCCUACCGGCCCGCAGGCUUGCCGCGGCCGCCGGUACCUGCGGGGAGAGCAUGGCUCGGAGAGGGACCGAGAGCACCGGCGGGGGGCGGCUGCCCGGAGGAAGGGGGCACCCGGCGCCCUGUGCCGUCCCGCUUCCGGAGCUCGGGCACAAACGCGCGGGGCCCCACCCGAGCACUCCCCUUUACCUGGUACGGCCGGCGACUCUCCGGGGACGUUCAGUCCAGACUCCUUCGGGGCGGGCGUCCAGCUCACAUCGUUGCCAACCCCGCCGGGCGGCAGGUGUCCCGCUGGGUCCCUUCGCCCCCGCUGGCGACGUGCCCCCGCCCCCCCACCCCCCUACCCCCUCUAUCAAAAGUGUCACAGCUUUUCUGCCUUCGGAUCUUUCGCAAAGUCUCCGCGCGGUUGCCAGGAGUUGGGCGGCAAUACCAGGCGCGCCAACCCGGCGGAUGCCCUGCCCCGCCCUCCCGCGGCCCCCUGCGCUCGGCCCGGCCGGGGAGAAGAGCCGCCUCGUCGCGGUCACCGUCCCCGGAGCGCGGCGCGCGGUCCGCCUCCCCUCCCUCGCUCCUUCCCUAGCCCGAGUGGCUGCCGCCUGCCUGUGCCGCGGGUCCUCAUUCCCCUGCUCAUGAAUAUUCUG
rnacentral:lncRNA from 1 species